GCCCCGGUAGCUCAGCUGGUUAGAGCGGUCGCCUCGUAAGCGACAGGUCGAGGGUUCGAAAAUAAGUAUAAUAUUUUCUAGAAUUUUCAGAAACUCCCUCCCGGGGCUCCA
rnacentral:tRNA from 1 species